rnacentral:rRNA from 1 species
AACGAACGCUGGCGGCAGGCUUAACACAUGCAAGUCGAACGCAUCCUUCGGGGUGAGUGGCAGACGGGUGAGUAACGCGUGGAAACGUGCCCUUCAGUUCGGAAUAACCCAGGGAAACUUGGGCUAAUACCGGAUACGUGCGAGAGCAGAAAGAUUUAUCGCUGAAGGAUCGGCACGCGUCUGAUUAGCUAGUUGGUGAGGUAAUGGCUCACCAAGGCGACGAUCAGUAGCUGGUCUGAGAGGAUGAUCAGCCACAUUGGGACUGGGACACGGCCCAAACUCCUACGGGAGGCAGCAGUGGGGAAUAUUGGACAAUGGGCGCAAGCCUGAUCCAGCCAUGCCGCGUGAGUGAUGAAGGCCUUAGGGUUGUAAGCUCUUUCAGUGGGGACGAUAACGACGGUACCCGCAGAAGAAGCCCCGGCUAACUUCGUGCCAGCAGCCGCGGUAA